rnacentral:rRNA from 1 species
UACGUAGGGUGCAAGCGUUGUCCGGAAUUAUUGGGCGUAAAGAGCUCGUAGGCGGUUCGUCGCGUCGGCUGUGAAAACCCGAGGCUCAACCUCGGGCCUGCAGUCGAUACGGGCGGACUGGAGUUCGGCAGGGGAGACUGGAAUUCCUGGUGUAGCGGUGAAAUGCGCAGAUAUCAGGAGGAACACCGGUGGCGAAGGCGGGUCUCUGGGCCGAUACUGACACUGAGAGACGAAAGCUAGGGGAGCGAAUGGG